rnacentral:tRNA from 1 species
GGAGGCGUGCCCGAGCGGCUGAAGGGGCUCCCCUGCUAAGGGAGUAUGUGCGCUAAAACGUGCAUCCAGGGUUCGAAUCCCUGCGCCUCCGCCA